rnacentral:rRNA from 1 species
UACGGAGGGGGCUAGCGUUGUUCGGAAUUACUGGGCGUAAAGCGCGCGUAGGCGGACCUGCAAGUCGGGGGGUGAAAGCCCGAGGCUCAACCUCGGAACUGCCUUCGAUACUGCGGGUCUCGAGUCCGGGAGAGGUGAGUGGAAUUCCUAGUGUAGAGGUGAAAUUCGUAGAUAUUAGGAAGAACACCAGUGGCGAAGGCGGCUCACUGGCCCGGUACU